rnacentral:rRNA from 1 species
UCCUGGCUCAGAUUGAACGCUGGCGGCAGGCCUAACACAUGCAAGUCGAGCGGCAGCGGGAAAGUAGCUUGCUACUUUUGCCGGCGAGCGGCGGACGGGUGAGUAAUGCCUGGGAAAUUGCCCAGUCGAGGGGGAUAACAGUUGGAAACGACUGCUAAUACCGCAUACGCCCUACGGGGGAAAGCAGGGGACCUUCGGGCCUUGCGCGAUUGGAUAUGCCCAGGUGGGAUUAGCUAGUUGGUGAGGUAAUGGCUCACCAAGGCGACGAUCCCUAGCUGGUCUGAGAGGAUGAUCAGCCACACUGGAACUGAGACACGGUCCAGACUCCUACGGGAGGCAGCAGUGGGGAAUAUUGCACAAUGGGGGAAACCCUGAUGCAGCCAUGCCGCGUGUGUGAAGAAGGCCUUCGGGUUGUAAAGCACUUUCAGCGAGGAGGAAAGGUCAGUAGCUAAUAUCUGCUGACUGUGAC